rnacentral:tRNA from 1 species
GCCGCCGUAGCUCAGGGGAAGAGUAUCCGACUGUCGAUCGGAGGGCGCGGGUUCGAGUCCCGCCGGUGGCG